rnacentral:rRNA from 1 species
GAUGAACGCUGGCGGCGUGCCUAAUACAUGCAAGUCGAGCGAACGGACGAGAAGCUUGCUUCUCUGAUGUUAGCGGCGGACGGGUGAGUAACACGUGGAUAACCUACCUAUAAGACUGGGAUAACUUCGGGAAACCGGAGCUAAUACCGGAUAAUAUUUUGAACCGCAUGGUUCAAAAGUGAAAGACGGUCUUGCUGUCACUUAUAGAUGGAUCCGCGCUGCAUUAGCUAGUUGGUAAGGUAACGGCUUACCAAGGCAACGAUGCAUAGCCGACCUGAGAGGGUGAUCGGCCACACUGGAGCUGGGACACGGUCCAGACUACUACGGGAGGCAGCAGUAGGGAAUCUUCCGCAAUGGGCGAAAGCCUGACGGAGCAACGCCGCGUGUGUGAUGAAGGUCUUCGGAUCGUAAAACUCUGUUAUUAGGGAAGAACAGAUGUGUAAGGAACUGUGCACAGCUUGACGGUACCUAAUCAGAAAGCCACGGCUAACUACGUG